rnacentral:rRNA from 1 species
GUGGGGAAUAUUGGACAAUGGGCGAAAGCCUGAUCCAGCCAUGCCGCGUGUGUGAAGAAGGUCUUCGGAUUGUAAAGCACUUUAAGUUGGGAGGAAGGGUAGUAACCUAAUACGUUGCUACUUUGACGUUACCGACAGAAUAAGCACCGGCUAACUUCGUGCCAGCAGCCGCGGUAAUACGAAGGGUGCAAGCGUUAAUCGGAAUUACUGGGCGUAAAGCGCGCGUAGGUGGUUCGUUAAGUUGGAUGUGAAAGCCCCGGGCUCAACCUGGGAACUGCAUCCAAAACUGGCGAGCUAGAGUACGGUAGAGGGUGGUGGAAUUUCCUGUGUAGCGGUGAAAUGCGUAGAUAUAGGAAGGAACACCAGUGGCGAAGGCGACCACCUGGACUGAUACUGACACUGAGGUGCGAAAGCGUGGGGAGCAAACAGGAUUAGAAACCCGUGUAGUCC